ACAUUACAACUAGUCGUACAUUUAACUACUUAUGGUUGAAAUCGAAAUCAAGGCUAUUUAAAUUACGAAGCAUUCUAUGUAAGGGGUGGUUAUUACUGUAGGAUGUACUGUAGAUUGGUACUAGGAAGAAGGAGUGAUGCCUGGAGAAGAAGAAAGGGAUACGAAAUUGUAUGUUUGAUAGGAGAUCAGGAGCAUCUGUGGUGCCACUUAAGAGUGAAGAAAUAAAUUGCACGUCAAUGUCUUUUAGGUGGGAUGAAAGUAGUUGAAUUUCUAAUAUACUACGAAUUAAAGAGUAGCUGUGUGAUGGGUGUACUAUUUUGAGGAUAUGAGCUGCGUAGGAAAGAAACCUAUUUUGGACACGCUCGAGUCUUAAUUCAUCUUUAGCCAAGUAAGGAUGUCACACUACCACUCCGUAUUCUAAUAUCGAACGUACUAACGCGAAACUAAGCAGAAGAAAAAUGAGUGGUGUUGCGCUUAAUAAAUCCCAAGACUUUAAAUGUUUUAUCUGCGGUUACACUUAUGUGAUGUUCAAAGUUUAAAGAUAGAGUAUAAUGUAUAACAAGAUCUUUAUGGAGAAAAACACGGUCAAGAGUGGUACCAUUAAAAAAAUAAUUGUGAAUAGAUCACUGUCUAAAAAAAAAUCAUAAUAUGAAAUUGAUUUGUAUUGAGGCUAAGACCAACAUCACGCGCCCAAUUUACAAAAAUAUUGAGAUCGGAUUGUAGUUUAAAAUAUUGAUUAAGAUUAUCAAUUUUGAGG